rnacentral:rRNA from 1 species
UACGUAGGGUCCGAGCGUUGUCCGGAAUUACUGGGCGUAAAGAGCUCGUAGGUGGUUUGUCGCGUUGUUCGUGAAAACUCACAGCUCAACUGUGAGCUUGCGGGCGAUACGGGCAGACUAGAGUACUGCAGGGGAGACUGGAAUUCCUGGUGUAGCGGUGGAAUGCGCAGAUAUCAGGAGGAACACCGGUGGCGAAGGCGGGUCUCUGGGCAGUAACUGACGCUGAGGAGCGAAAGCGUGGGGAGCAAACAGG